rnacentral:rRNA from 1 species
GACGAACGCUGGCGGCGUGCUUAACACAUGCAAGUCGAACGGAUAGGCCCUGCUUGCUGGUUACUUCAGUGGCGAACGGGUGAGUAAUACGUGGGUGUUUUGCUCUUCAUUUCGGGUUAAGUCUGGGAAACUGCGUUUAUUACCGGUUCGUCGUCAUUUUUAGUGUGAUGGUUGUAAAGAUUUUUCGGUGUCGGAUGAGCUCGCGGCCUAUCAGCUUGUUGGUGGGGUAAUGGCCUACCAAGGCGGCGACCGGUAGCGGGACUGAGAGGUUGGUCGGCCACAUUGGGACUGAGAGAAGGCACAGACGGCGAAGAGAGGAAGCAGGGGGGAAGAUUGAACAAGGGACGCAGGGCUGAUGCAGCAAGGCCGCGUAGGGGAUAACGGCCUUAGGGUUGAAAACGGCUAGCGAGAGAGAAGAAGCCUGUUGUGACGGUACCAAGAUAAGAAGCACCGGCUAACUACGUG